AGUGAACGCUGGCGGUAGGCCUAACACAUGCAAGUCGAACGGCAGCACAGUAAGAGCUUGCUCUUACGGGUGGCGAGUGGCGGACGGGUGAGGAAUACAUCGGAAUCUACUUUUUCGUGGGGGAUAACGUAGGGAAACUUACGCUAAUACCGCAUACGACCUACGGGUGAAAGCAGGGGAUCUUCGGACCUUGCGCGAUUGAAUGAGCCGAUGUCGGAUUAGCUAGUUGGCGGGGUAAAGGCCCACCAAGGCGACGAUCCGUAGCUGGUCUGAGAGGAUGAUCAGCCACACUGGAACUGAGACACGGUCCAGACUCCUACGGGAGGCAGCAGUGGGGAAUAUUGGACAAUGGGCGCAAGCCUGAUCCAGCCAUACCGCGUGGGUGAAGAAGGCCUUCGGGUUGUAAAGCCCUUUUGUUGGGAAAGAAAAGCAGCAGGUUAAUACAUCGCUGUCCUGACGGUACCCAAAGAGUAAGCACCGGCUAACUUCGUG
rnacentral:rRNA from 1 species